AUCGAAAAUAAAGUGUAGGCGUUGGAGUUCAACUUAAGGUAAGAAAGAAACAACCCAUGGUGGGAGACGAAUUAAGAAAGCUCACAAUUCUUCUGCUCGUCUUCAUAACCCUCCUUUCUGAAUUUGUGUUCGGAGAAGAGGGAUGGUGGAGCAGACGUGAGGAGCGACUUGGUAUCAACAGAGAAAGAGGGCAACGUUUAGGGGACUGUGUGUUUCGGCUGAUGCUGGAUGGUGGUGCAGACAGAGGGGCUGACUUGUUAUAAACCGAGCACGGCGUUUCAGGGAACAUGCAAUUCAGCUGAGGAAUGUGGUAGAGUUUGUUUUUAUCAAGAGGGUUGGGAUGAUGGGUUUUGCUCAGGUGAUAAAUGCAUCUGUACAGAGAAAUGCUGCUGCUAAGUUCAGGCAUCAAUGGGUUUGGAUAUUACCAAUGUUCUUACUCCCUCAUGAAUAAAAUAAGCUCCUCCUAUUCUAAUCAAACACGCAAGUUUGCUCAUUAAGGGUUAUGUUUGAGAUAGGAAUUCAAUGUGGAAAUGAGACAAAAUGAGCCUCAAUAUGCUCAAAGAAAUCAGUCUUCCCAUUUAUGCUUUAAAAAGAUGGAAGAAAGGGCAAAACAACGCAAGGUAGAGCACGUUGCACUCUCCUAAGCACUCAACAACGUAGAGCUAGCUAGUUGUAUUGCCCUAGGUGGUUCUGCGCUUCGAAUCAAAAGUUAAGAGUGUAACUAUGCGCUACUUGGGAGCAAAACGACACUCGGUUAAUUUUGAAAAGUGUCUUCAUCUAUAUAAUGUUAUAGGAUUGUUGGUUGCAAAUUACAAUCAAUUACACCACAAAAUUCGGAUAUUUUGAGAGAGUUUUUAGUCUAAAAAAAGUUAAGAAAGUUGGAAGUUCGUUUAGGGGUUGUUCGAGAUCCUGAGGUGAAAAUCAAGGUAAAAUUGACGAACUUUAAUAGAGGAGAUUAGAGCGUGGUUUUUUUCAUCCUCUUUACUUUACUUAGCAUGGUUGUUGCUAUGUAUGAGAGUACUUUGUAGCAAUGAUGUGUGGUUAAUUAAUAGUUGUCAGUUGUAGAGU